GUUUAAUUUUUUAAGACUUAAAAGUUAUAUGAAUAUACACCUUAUAAUACCAAAAUCUAACUCAAGUAAUUUGAUAGAUUUAUUAUUUAUGUCAGAAAAGAUUAAUAAACCACUCUCUAAAGCACUGAUUUUAAUUAAAUCAAUGGCCAAAGACACAAACCCUACUGCCAUACAGGUUUGGAAACAAGAAUUGAACAUUGAUAUUAAUUUGAAUCAAUGGGGUUCUUCAAUG